CUCAGGGUCUGGGUCAUGGGACGCCAAAUCCUGCUCCUGCUGCUCUCUGGGGCCCUGGCCCUGACCCAGACCUGGGACGGACUCGCGUCUUCCCUGCCCCCAGGUCCCCACAGCCUGAGAUAUGUCAGCACUGCCACGUAUGGACCGGGCCGCGGGAAGAACCGGUACAUCAGCGUCAUCUACGUGGACGACUCGGAGAUCCUGCAGUUCGACAGUGGCGCAGCGAGGCCAAGGCUGGAGCCGCGGGUGCCCUGGAUGGAGCAGCCGUGGGUGGAGCAGGAGCAUCCAGAUUUUUGGAAGGACCAGACACAGGAAAUGAAGCACAAUGAACAGACUUCUCGAGCAAACCUGAACAAGCUUCUGGCCUACUACAACCAGAGCGAGGAAGUGUCUGGCACCCUCCAGGAAAUGACCGGCUGCGUCGUGGGGUCGGAUGGACACUUCCUCAGAGGGUUCACUCAGUUCGCCUUCGACGGCACCGACUUCAUUGCCUUGAAUGAGGACCUGCGCUCCUGGACCUCAGCCAACUCAGUGGUGGGUCUCAGCUGGCACCAGUUGGUGUGGGUCCCUGAUGAGGAUGUGAGGAGGGUCUUUCUGGAGGACACCUGUGUGCACCGGCUCCGCCUGCUCUUGGAGAAGGGGAAGGAGAAGCUGCUCCAAGCAGACCCUCCAAAGACACACAUGACCCACCACCCCAUCUCUGACUAUGAGGUCACCCUGAAGUGCUGGGCCCUGGGCUUCUACCCUGUGGACAUCACCCUGACCUGGCAGUGUGAUGGGGAAGACCUGACCGAGGACAUGGAGCUAGUGGACACCAGGCCUGCAGGGGAUGGAACCUUCCAGAAGUGGGCAGCUGUGGCCGUGCCCCCUGGAGAGGAGCAGAGAUACACAUGCCAUGUGCAGCACCAGGGGCUGCCCGAGCCCCUGACCCUGAGAUGGGACCCCCCUCCUCAGACCACCGUCACCAUCAUCGUGGGCAUUGCUGCUGCCCUGGGUCUCCUUGGAGCUGUGGUCACUGGAACUGUGCUGUGGAGGAGGAAGUGCUCAGGCAGAGGCAGGGAGAGCUACACUCAGGCUGCCUGCAGCAACAGUGCCCAGGGCAUUGAUGUGUCUCUCACAGCUCCUAAUGUGUGACAGAGCUGCCUUGUAGGGGACUUGGUGCUAAAGCAGUCAUUGCAGCUUCCCCUUGGAACUUUCAGGAUCCCUGACUGCUGUUUCUGCAAGUGGCAUUGGAAUGUGUCCAUGUUCUUAUCAGUGUCAGUGAGGGGCUGGUCACCAGGCCACCCUCCCCACAAGGACCUGUGUCUUCUCCCCCGGGGGACUGUCUUGUCCUAGCAGAGUCCCCAUCAUAGUGCUCACUUCCUGUUCCUUUGAGUUUUAAUGUCCCGUUUCUCAGUUGGAAAUCAGAAUCUGGGAGAACCUUGUUCCACCAAGACCUAGGAUCUCAGGACAUGGGUGUCACCGGGACCUUGUCGUGGCUCUAGGACUGUGCUCAGUGAGGACUUCCUGUGGCUGUGUCAGCCUGGGCUCAGGCCUGGGUCUGGCCAUCAGCCUCAUCUUUUGGGUGUUUGUUGUUUCUUUGUUUUUAUAGAUAUUGUACCUACCCUUGUUUUUUUAAAUUAAAUUAUUGGGGUGUUCUCAA